CUCAUCUUUAAGCUUUAUGACUUUGUUUUGAAGCUUGGGAGGGAUCUUUUACUCUAAUUUCAAGAUUUUACUGCUUGGUGAGACAUUUUGUCUUACUCGACAUUUUGUCUUUGUAUUCAUCUACUCCUCGAGGCAAACUGACUCCC